rnacentral:rRNA from 1 species
CCUACGGGAGGCUGCAGUGAGGAAUAUUGGUCAAUGGACGAGAGUCUGAACCAGCCAAGUAGCGUGAAGGAUGACUGCCCUAUGGGUUGUAAACUUCUUUUAUAUGGGAAUAAAACGUUCCACGUGUGGGAUUUUGUAUGUACCAUAUGAAUAAGGAUCGGCUAACUCCGUGCCAGCAGCCGCGGUAAUACGGAGGAUCCGAGCGUUAUCCGGAUUUAUUGGGUUUAAAGGGAGCGUAGGUGGAUUGUUAAGUCAGUUGUGAAAGUUUGCGGCUCAACCGUGAAAUUGCAGUUGAAACUGGCAGUCUUGAGUACAGUAGAGGUGGGCGGAAUUCGUGGUGUAGCGGUGAAAUGCUUAGAUAUCACGAAGAACUCCGAUUGCGAAGGCAGUUCACUGGACUGCAACUGACACUGAGGCUCGAAAGUGUGGGUAUCAAACAGGAUUAGAUACCCGGGUAGUC